rnacentral:rRNA from 1 species
GAGAGGAAGGUCCCCCACACUGGUACUGAGACACGGACCAGACUCCUACGGGAGGCAGCAGUGAGGAAUAUUGGUCAAUGGGCGAGAGCCUGAACCAGCCAAGUCGCGUGAGGGACGACGGCCCUACGGGUUGUAAACCUCUUUUGCCGGGGGACAAACGGCGGCACGCGUGCCGUCCUGAGGGUACCCGGAGAAAAAGCAUCGGCUAACUCCGUGCCAGCAGCCGCGGUAAUACGGAGGAUGCGAGCGUUAUCCGGAUUUAUUGGGUUUAAAGGGUGCGUAGGCGGGAUGCCAAGUCAGCGGUCAAAUACGGGGGCUCAACCUGCGUCCGCCGUUGAAACUGGCGUUCUUGAGUGGGCGAGAAGUACGCGGAAUGCGUGGUGUAGCGGUGAAAUGCAUAGAUAUCACGCAGAACCCCGAUUGCGAAGGCAGCGUACCGGCGCCCGACUGACGCUGAAGCACGAAAGCGUGGGUAUCGAACAGGAUUAGAUACCCUGGU